GUCUCUCUUAAUCAGUGUUGGUUUGAAGUCUACUUGAUCUGCAAAGAGGAUAGCUACUCCUGCUUUUUUUCAGGUUCCUGUUGCAUGGAGUAUUGUUUUCCACCCUUUAACUUUCAGUCUAUGAGUUUCCUUUUGAAUGAAGUGUGUUACUUGUAUGCAGCAUAUUGUUGGAUUUUCCUUCUUGACCCAUUCUACCAGUCUAUUUCUUUUGCUUGAUGAAUUGAGACCAUUAAUGUUGAUGGUUAUAACUGAAACGUAUUGACUUGUCAUUCCCAUGACUUUUUCUUUUUGUUGGGUUCUCCUCCUUUACAUUUAAUUUCUUGUCAUGCCAGAUGAGUUCAUUCUGCUUUUCUUACUGGGGUUGUGAUUCUCAAUGUCUGUUCCUAGGAUAUUGUGUAAAAUUAUUUGGAGUGGUGGUUUGGUAUUCACGAGGUUCCUAAGGUGCUCUUUGUCAUGCAAGUAUCUUACUCCUCUAUCAGUUUUGAAAGAUAGUUUUGCAGGGUACAUCAAUCUGGGUUGGAGGCUGUUUUCUUUUAGGGCUUGGAAUAUGUCACUCCAAGCUCUUCUUGUCUUGAUGGUUUGUGUUGAGAAGUCUGGUGUGAUUCUGAUGGGCUUUCCUUUGUAUGUGAUUUGUUUCUUUUCUCUAACUCCUUAUAGAACUUUGUUCUUCUGUUGUGUUUCUGGAAUCUUAACAAUUAUAUGCCUAUGUGUAGAUUUUCUUUGAUCAAGGCUAUUUGGAGUCCUAUAUGCCUCACUUAUGUGUAUGUCAAGUUCUUUUCCCCUGCUUGGGAUGUUUUCCGCCAUUACUUCUGUGAAGAGUUUUGUUAUGUCAUCUGCACUGUCUUCUGUUUCUUCAUUUACGCCAAUCAAUCUUAUGUUAUUCUUCUUUGCAUUGUAUAGCAGCUGCUGGAUUGAUUUCUCACGUUCCCUUAUAAUUUUGAAGCAAUUUUUCUUUUCCUUGUCACUAAUUGCAAUCUUAUCUUCUAUAUCUGAAAUUCUGUCCUCACAUUGGCUCAUUCUGCUGUGUUUUUCAUGUCCUGGAAAUCUAUUUGCAUCUGUUUUAUGGAGCCCAUUUGUUUCCUAUGUUGGGAUUCCAUCAUGUUCCUCAGCUCCUCUCUAGAUUUAUUAAUCAUGUCUUGCAUUAGGAGCAUAAUUUUUCCUGUUAUCUGAGAAAUUAUUUCUGAUUUCAUUUUUUCCAGAUCCCCUUUUGUUGCCAGUUCAGUGGGUCGAGGUGGUUGAGUAUCAGAGUGUUCCAUCUCAUUUCCCUUUGGGGUUGCUGUAGGCGAUCUGGAAGUCUGGUUUUGAGACUUAUGUACGUG
rnacentral:lncRNA from 1 species